rnacentral:tRNA from 1 species
GGCCCGCUAGCUCAAUGGUAGAGCAGUUGCCUUUUAAGCAAUUGGUUACAGGUUCGAAUCCUGUGCGGGUCACCA